rnacentral:miRNA from 1 species
UGCCUCAUCAACCAGAAGGAUUUCCUUCAGGUCAAUGAGGUUGUUAUACCUCAUUGGCCAGAAGGAAAUCCCUUCUGAUUGAUGAGGUU